rnacentral:sRNA from 1 species
AAUUUCAUUUGAAGUGGAAAUCCUUUUUUUGUCUCGUUUUUUAACGAGACAAAAAAAGAUUGGAACGGAUAGCCCGACCGUAG